AGCGAACGCUGGCGGCAGGCCUAACACAUGCAAGUCGAACGAAGUCUUCGGACUUAGUGGCGGACGGGUGAGUAACACGUGGGAACGUACCUUUUGGUUCGGAACAACUCAGGGAAACUUGAGCUAAUACCGGAUGAGCCCUUAGGGGGAAAGAUUUAUCGCCGAAAGAGCGGCCCGCGUUAGAUUAGCUAGUUGGUGAGGUAAAGGCUCACCAAGGCAACGAUCUAUAGCUGGUCCGAGAGGAUGAUCAGCCACACUGGGACUGAGACACGGCCCAGACUCCUACGGGAGGCAGCAGUGGGGAAUCUUGCGCAAUGGGCGAAAGCCUGACGCAGCCAUGCCGCGUGAAUGAUGAAGGUCUUAGGAUUGUAAAAUUCUUUUACCAGGGACGAUAAUGACGGUACCUGGAGAAAAAGCCCCGGCUAACUUCGUGCCAGCCGCCGCAGUAAGAC
rnacentral:rRNA from 1 species